rnacentral:rRNA from 1 species
CCAAUUGAUUGAUGGUGCUUGCACCUGAUUGAUUUUGGUUGCCAACGAGUGGCGGACGGGUGAGUAACACGUAGGUAACCUGCCCAGAAGCGGGGGACAACAUUUGGAAACAGAUGCUAAUACCGCAUAACAGCGUUGUUCGCAUGAACAACGCUUAAAAGAUGGCUUCUCGCUAUCACUUCUGGAUGGACCUGCGGUGCAUUAGCUUGUUGGUGGGGUAACGGCCUACCAAGGCGAUGAUGCAUAGCCGAGUUGAGAGACUGAUCGGCCACAAUGGGACUGAGACACGGCCCAUACUCCUACGGGAGGCAGCAGUAGGGAAUCUUCCACAAUGGGCGCAAGCCUGAUGGAGCAACACCGCGUGAGUGAAGAAGGGUUUCGGCUCGUAAAGCUCUGUUGUUAAAGAAGAACACGUAUGAGAGUAACUGUUCAUACGUUGACGGUAUUUAACCAGAAAGUCACGGCUAACUACGUGCCAGCAGCCGCGGUAAUACGUAGGUGGCAAGCGUUAUCCGGAUUUAUUGGGCGUAAAGAGAGUGCAGGCGGUUUUCUAAGUCUGAUGUGAAAGCCUUCGGCUUAACCGGAGAAGUGCAUCGGAAACUGGAUAACUUGAGUGCAGAAGAGGGUAGUGGAACUCCAUGUGUAGCGGUGGAAUGCGUAGAUAUAUGGAAGAACACCAGUGGCGAAGGCGGCUACCUGGUCUGCAACUGACGCUGAGACUCGAAAGCAUGGGUAGCGAACAGGAUUAGAUACCCUGGUAGUCCAUGCCGUAAACGAUGAGUGCUAGGUGUUGGAGGGUUUCCGCCCUUCAGUGCCGGAGCUAACGCAUUAAGCACUCCGCCUGGGGAGUACGACCGCAAGGUU